rnacentral:lncRNA from 1 species
UCUAUGAUUUAAAACAACAAUCAUUUUAUUUUUUCUUAUUUGUUUGUUGACUCACUGAAUGGGUCUUCAAGCUACGGGUUUGUCUAGUUAUGCUCCAUGUGCCUCUCAACUGCCUUGGCACAAAGGGGCAGCUGGGUCAUAUUCUUUUCAUGCCAGUGGAAGGAUUUCAAGAAGAAUGAACCACACUGGCACACUCUCACUCCCAACCACAUUCUGUUGGCCAAAGUGGACCACAGGCCAAGCCCAAAAUUAAAAGGAUGGAAAAAAUGCAUUCUAUCAUUAAAAUCACAUGGCAGAUAAAGCGUCAAACUUUUUUUUUUAUUUUUUAUUUUUAUUUCCGAGACAGAGUCUCGCUCUGUUGCCUAGGCUGGAGUGCAGUGGCACGAUCUUGGCUCACUGCAACCUCUGCCUUCCAGGUUCAAGCAAUUCUCCUGCCUCAGCCUCCCUAGUAGCUGGGAUUACAGGCAUGCACCACCACACUUGGCUAAUUUUUUAGAAUUUUUAGUAGAGACAGGGUUUCACCAUGUUGGCCAGGCUGGUCUUGAACUCCUGAACUCAGGCGAUCCGCCUGCUUGGCCUCCCAAAGUGCUGGGAUUACAGGCGUGAGCCACCGUGUCUGGCCUUCAUCAAGCAUUUUGAACAAAGAUAUUGUCUUCCAGUCUUCAUACUUGGUAAUAUAAGAUCUUCCAUACUGCCUAGUGUUUCAGGAGUCCGCAGGACUGUAUCAGUCCACAGACAGCAUUUAUUCUAAUCACAGAGUGCCCUCUGGGCAGUGCUCAUGCUAUGCGGGAAACUGAAAAUGUUUAGUAUCACUCAUCAGUUUGAUCAAGAGUAGACCAUUUAAGUUUUUGAUGUGUUCCAAGUAGAGGCUAGAUUCCAUUGCUCAUGAUAGACACUAAAAAGCAGUUUACUUCUUGCUGCUGUCCAGCUCACUUUCUCUAGCAGUUCAACCCAUGCAUGGUUUCCAUUUCCAAGGCUGCUCGUGGUAUCAGGAAGAGCUGGAACUCUUGUCAUUUUGUGUAUAUUCUAGGCAGCCGGAGAGAAGAAAAGA